CGUUAACGAAUUACUGUACAUAUAUUACAUAGCUAUUUGUUCGCUCAACACAGCCCCUGAAUGAGGACUAUUUUAACUUUAUAUCACCUACGUCCUAUAAAAUAUUGUAGAAGUAUCAAAAACAGAGGCGACGUAAAGACUAUAAGCUGUCAGAAACAGGCUGUUAUUUUCAAGGGUCCCGCUCCAGUCGCCGCCCUCCAACUAGUGCCCAAGCGUCUACAUACGUUGGUAAUGUAGUAUUUCUUACAGCGCCCCCUGUGUGUAGUAUACGUGCAGUACAACCACUAGUUGAUAGCCAUGCACUAUAUCGUACACAACAGAUGCAAAUACUGAUUUUAUACGCAGGAGGCGCUGUCGAAUAAUCACAUCCCAACAAAACAUGACUGCAAGCUUCUUUGGAUUUGUUGCCACUCGGCAAGAUUUAGAUGGCCGACUAAAACUACCUCCAAAGUACAACGACAAAUCUCACAUAAAAACGUCAAACAUUUCGCGUGAUUUUAUAGAUUGCUUUUUAUAUUGUUUAUCGUACAUAUAAAUUUGAGUUUAACCUAAAAAAAUCAGAGUUAAGUAGGAAUACGUUCACUGUUCCUCUGUCAAGACCCCGGUAUAGUUUUUGUCGGCCCACUAAAAGCGUUCCACAUGGGAAAUUUAAUUUUUGUUUCACUCAAAUGUUAGGAGUAACCACAUGAAUUUUACUUUUUACAAUUCCUAGCCGCCAUCAUGUUGAAAUCCAAAACCUUCGUGAAGAAGACGCGCUCGGGUGGGGUGAUGAAAAUUGUACGCGAGCAUUACCUGAGGGAUGAUAUUUGGUGUGGAAGCGAGGUUUGCAACGAAUGUCGGCAGGAGUCCAGCGUGCUGCAGAGAGAUGCGUGUAUUGAAAGCAACUUGUGCUCUUUUCCACAUUAUCUGGUUCCUGACACUAAUGUGGUGUUACAUCAGAUUGACGUCCUGGAGGACCCUGUGAUUCGCAACGUCGUCAUCCUUCAGACCGUCCUGCAAGAAGUACGCCACCGCAGUGCUCCGGUCUACAAACGCCUUAAGGACCUAAUACAUGAAAAGGAAAGAUACUUCUACACCUUUACCAAUGAACACCACCGAGAAACAUUCAUCGAGCGCGAGCCAGGGGAGAGCGCCAAUGACCGUAAUGACCGAGCAAUCCGUGUGGCGACCAAAUGGUACAGCCAGCACUUGAAUAAGUGUGAUGCCAAUGGCCUCAAGGUGGUGCUUCUGACUAACGACCUGGGUAACAAGCAGAAGGCAGAAGAGAGCGGUCUACUGGCGUAUAAAUUUGAGGAGUACGUCAAGGGCCUGAUAGCAAAUCCUGAGCUUGUGGAUCGCCUGGCAUUGUCAAAUGACGACAAGAAUGACAUCACCAGCAGUAAAGUGCUAUUCCCGGAGCACCUCCCUCUAUCCAGGAUUCAGGCAGGCAUUAAAGCUGGUUCUUUCCUCCAAGGGACCUUCAAGGCAAGCAGGGACAACUACCUGGAGGGCACAGUCUUCAUCCAAAAAGAUGAGGAAGACGGCACAGAGGUCCUCAUCCAGGGCCUUCAGAACCUCAACAGAGCCGUGUACCAAGAUGUGGUGGCCGUGCAGCUGUUGCCUCGCAGCCAGUGGGUGGCGCCCUCUUCUGUUGUGCUGCAGGAUGUGGGCUCGGCCAAGGAUGAUACCACAGAGGAAGAGGAGGAGGAGGACGCUCUGAAAGGUUCAGGGGGAGAAGUCGACAAGAAGCCCACCGGCAAAAUAGUUGGCAUCAUCAAGAGGAGCUGGAGGCCCUUUUGUGGCAUGCUUAAUGUCUCCCAAAUCAAAGAGUCUACACGCCACCUGUUCACGCCGGCGGACCGUCGCAUUCCACGAAUUCGCAUCGAAACACGCCAAGCGUCCACGCUGGCAGGCCAGAGGAUCAUGGUGGCCAUCGACGGCUGGCCCAAAGACUCCAGAUAUCCAAACGGUCACUUUGUUCGGAGCUUGGGCACCGCAGGGGAGAAGGACACAGAAGAGGAAGUCCUCCUACUGGAGCAUGAUGUUCCUCAUCAGGCGUUCUCUCAGGCUGUGCUCAGUUUUCUUCCCAAAAUGCCAUGGUGCAUCAAACCAGAGGACAUGGUGGGCAGGGAGGACCUGAGGCAUCUGACAGUGUGCAGCGUGGAUCCUCCAGGAUGCACAGACAUUGAUGAUGCUCUGCACUGUCGACAGCUGGACAAUGGAAACUUUGAGGUGGGAGUCCACAUCGCUGAUGUCAGUCACUUUAUCAGACCCGGAAACGCUCUGGACACGGAGGCCGCCAACCGGGGCACGACCGUUUACCUCUGUGGCAAGAGGAUUGAUAUGGUUCCUGAGCUGCUGAGCUCCAACCUUUGUUCCCUACGCUCCAACGUGGAGAGGCUGGCUUUCUCGUGCAUCUGGGAGAUGAACCAAGAGGCGGAAGUCGUAAAAACGCGGUUCACAAAAAGCGCCAUCAACUCCAAGGCAUCUCUAACCUACGCGGAGGCCCAGAUGAGGAUCGAUGACACCAGCAAGAACGACGACAUCACCAGGAGCCUGCGCGGCCUCAACAAGCUCGCCAAAAUCCUCAAACGAGGGAGGAUCGAGAAAGGGGCGCUGACGCUGUCCUCCCUGGAGGUCCGCUUCCACAUGGACAGUGAAACCCACGACCCCAUUGAGCUCCAGACCAAAGAGCUUAUGGAGACCAACUCCAUGGUGGAAGAGUUCAUGUUGCUGGCCAACAUUUCCGUCGCCCAGAAGAUCUACGAUGAGUUCACAGACUGCGCCUUGCUGAGGAAACAUCCAGCACCUCCGCCAUCCAACUACGACAUCCUGCUUAAAGCCGCAAAGUCCAAGGCUGUGCAGAUCCGUACAGAUUCCGCCAAGGCGCUCGCCGACUCCCUAGAAAUAGCCAAAGUGGAAGACUUCCCGUACUUCAACACGCUCCUGCGCAUCCUGGCCACUCGCUGCAUGAUGCAGGCCGUCUAUUUCUGCUCGGGCAUGGACCGGGACUUCCACCACUACGGCCUGGCUUCACCCAUCUACACGCACUUCACCUCGCCCAUCAGGAGGUAUGCUGAUAUUAUUGUACACCGCCUGCUGGCUGUGGCCAUCGGAGCGGACAGCACCUACCCGGACUUGACGGACAAACAUAAGCAGUCGGCCCUUUGCAACAACCUCAACUACAGGCACAAAAUGUCCCAGUAUGCUCAGAGGGCAUCUGUGGCCUUCCAUACGCAGCUGUUCUUCAAGAGCAGAGGCAUUCUGAGCGAGGAGGGAUUUGUCCUCUUUGUGAGGAAGAACGCCAUCAUUGUCCUCAUCCCAAAGUUCGGCCUGGAGGGAACCGUCUUCUUUGACGGCAAAGACAAGAGCGGCAUAAGCCUCGUUUUUGAUGAGGAGGGUCCAUCUCUGACUGUAGAGCAGCACACCUUCCGUAUAUUUGACCGGGUGAAGGUCACCAUCAGCCUGGAUGACUCCAAUAUUCAACACCAGAAGAUACGCAUGGCUCUCACCGAGCCAGUGAUUCCAGGUGUGAGCGUUUCAGGCCAAGAUGCUGGACCACAAGCCAAGAAGCCCAAACUGGACCGCUGAUCAGGAAUUCUCAGAUUCAUCUUUGGGCUAUUUAUAUUUCACAAAGCUGACGUGAUAUCUAUAGAUCAGUAUUUUAUAGUAAAAUAAUCUGUGUGAUUCACCGCCGUUAUGGUUGCCAUAAAACUAAUUGGAAUUAACAGGUUCCCUGCAUAGAUAAGUUCUAUGCCGGGGUGGCCAAGGAGCCGUCUAUAUACUGCACAUACGUAGUCAUGGUGCAACAAAAUAACACAACACAUCCAUAGCAAGUUAAUGUAUCACAUAAAUCAACUACUGCUACUACGUGGGUAAUAAACAACUAAGCGCUAAACAUAACAUGUGACUUAAACUUUUAGUCACAAGUGCCCGCCGGGCAUGCUGGGUAGUCGAAUGAUAAAACAUUGGUUCUCAGGAGUAUGUGAACGCCUCUCCUCGUUGACUUCCCUGACGACCUCCAAUCACGGCCACAUGUUGGGAGAGAGUGCCACAGCUACCCAACGUGCCUUGCGGUGGGAAUAUAUGGGUGUCAUUUUGGCAUGGGUGUUUUGGUAUACCCAUAUGGUGCAGUAGGUGGGUUACACUGUGUGUGUUGACGUGUUGGGUUGCUUUUUUUUGUACAAGCUACAGAUUGCAUGACUAUUUCCCGAGUCAUUGAAACGUGCCACAGAGGCACUGCUACAGUUUUGAUGUUAAAGUUUUAAUAAAAAGUAAUUUGGAAACGCCCGGCGGGCUGCAGUUUGCCCACCCAUGCUCUAUGCGAUUGCAUUUUUACUUCAUCACUUUUUAUGAUACCCAAGCAAAAUGACUACUAUAGCCUUGUGUAUCCUUUACAUCAGGGGUCCCCAACCACCAGGCCGGGGCCUAGUACCGGUCCGUGGGCGGGGAUGAAAUGGGCCAAGGAAACCUUUCAGGCGCAAUGAUAAAAAAAAACAAAAAAAACCACACACACACACACACAAUACUUUUGUAAAUAACUAAAUACAAUUUUAAGUAAAUGCAUAUCAAUUUUGUAAAUAUGACCCAUUAUUUUAUUGAGAAAAACAAUAUAGUUAAAAGUUUUUGCAUGUUUUUUGCGAGUGUCCCACUUUGUUUGACAGUCCUUGAACGCACCAUCGUACUUGCGCUAGCCUUCUCCCACUCUGCAUAGAUUGUCAACUAUACUGUAUUUCUAUCGGGGUUUUUUCACUUCAUAUUUGCUUCCAAAUGCUGAUAGUCUGUGGGAAUGCAUAAAGGUAAAGUUUGAUGACGUUAUUGACUGCUACUGUGCAUAUUUGUUGUGCGCACAGCUUAAGUUAAUUCAUGCUAGCACACUGCCUGUUAGCACACACGUCAAGCAGCGGCGCUAUAAUCUUCUCUCUGAAAAACAGACUCCAAGCUUAUAGUGGUGGAUGGUGGGUGUGUAUUUACUUUGUGCUUUUUAUUUGAUGUUGUUCCGGUCUUAGUUUUACACAAUAAAUGCUAUACGACCCCCACCACCACCCCGGUCCGCGGAGAUUUGUGGGAACACGAGCCUGGCCGUGGGUCCAAAAAGGUUGUGGACCACUGCUUCACAUCAUAUACAGGUACUACAUACAGUAUGUUGAAAUGGCUCUAUGAGCCACAAUAUGGAGGAUAUUCAAGUGUCUAAGUACAGAGACAUGAAACCAAACUCCACGAACUAUUACCGGAGUGAGGAAAAAGCAUGUUCUCAAGCAGCUAAAAACAAUUGUGUUCAUUUAAUGAUCCAGCAACAAUCAUUAAUGGCACUCUUUAAAAAGUCUUAUUUUGGGUGAUGGGGGAACACAUUUAAAAUGUACAAGCCACCUGAAUCUUCACAGUUCUGAUUGACAGUCAAAGAAAAAAAAAAGUUAAAUAUAUAAAAAUCCAUAAUUUUCUAUAAAAACCAUACAGUACAAGUGUGAUGAUCAUCAUCACUGAGCCUCACUCACAUGAAAAGAUAAAGUGGGUAACACUUUACAAUAAAAGGUACAUAAAAUGACACUAGUAAAUGAGGAACGAACCUACCUAACCCUAACCACCACUCAUUAGUUCCUCAUUCGGUCCUUAGUAACUAGUCCAAAUUGAUGUGCCUUCGUCAUUAGUUCCUCAGUGACUACUGUAUGUUUGUGUACCUUAUUGUAAAGUGGUGACCAAAAAGUGAUUAUCCCUUGAAGUGCCAUCACCAACACAGUGGGUACAGCAAAAGGACAUUGAACUUUAACCUCUCUGAAGACAUAAGCACGAAUGGAAGCGUAUUUAAUGCCCCAAUGAAAGACUCCUACCAGUGGAGACAACUCAUUUAAAAAAGCUGCAAGUAGUGGCGUUCCUUCCCGUGCGUCGGACAGUUUAGUGAUGAGGAUGCCACGCCUGGAACAUGAGAAACACCAUUUUAGCUCAACAUUCUUGUUUUUUAAAAUGUAUGAAUGCAACAUAGAUCUCAGUUACUUCGGAUUUUUGAGUCGGCUGGCAAUCAAAAUGAUGGUUUUUGGGCCGACCAGAGGGAAUUACCAUUAAAUUGAAAAUGAUGAUGAGUGCAAGAAACAAUUGCGCUAAAAUCGACACUUGACUGCAGAUACUUGGCAUUAACAAUCCAUGGGCUCUUGCCCUGACAUGGAAAUAUCCCCUGUGACUGUUAGAGUGCAAGAAGUAACUGCUUCGGCCAUCUUGUAUCAGAUGGCUUUCAAAACCAGUAGACUUCGUGGUAUGACACGGAGCGAGGUUUAUAAAAUAGUUGAGAACUAUGACUGCUAGAGUGCAAGAAGGAACUACACAAAGUUUGACCUUUGAUUUAAUUUACUUUGGCCAUCUUGUAUCUGAUGACAUUCAAAAUCUAUGAGGUGUUUGCUCCGGCUUGGAGGAAUACUUCCUGAAGAGGAGUUAAAAAUUGUGACUAGAUUGUGCGAGAGUGCAAGAAAGGACUAAGCAAUAAAUUAGGACUUCAGUUCACAUUUGCCAUCUUGUGUCUGAUGGCAUUGCAAAUCUAUGACGUUCGUUGCUGCUUCAAAGAUCGGUUGAGGAUUGUGACUACUAGAGUGCACGAAGUAACCAUAAAAUUUGAACUUUAGGUACAUGGGCUGUUUCAGGUCGGAUAGCAUUUGCAAGCAAUGGACGUCUUGCUCUGACAUGGUGAUGUAACUCCUGAAACGUUUAAAGAUCAGUUGAAAACUGAGCGCUAGAGUGCAAGAAAGAACUGUGCACUAAUGUGACCUUUGAUCUCAGCUACUUUGGCUAUUUCGGGUCAGCCGGCAUUCCAAAUCUAAAUUGGUUUGGUCCAACAUUGAAAGUUAACACCUUAAAGGUUUAGUCGAAAAAUGUGACAAUUAGAGUGCAAGAAAUAACUGCACUAAAUUGGAUCUGCCACUUUUGGAUAUGAUGGCAUUCAAAAUCUAGGAAGGGUUCUUGCUCUGACAUAGUGACAGAACCCCUGAAAAGUUUACAGAUCAGUGGACAAUUAUGACUACUAGAGUGCAGAAAAUAACUAAAAAUGGUUGUGUUGGAGUUUAAAAAAAACAAAACAUCGGGGUUUCUUGCUGUGACAUAGAAAAGGCCCAAAAGGCUUGAAUAUCAGUUGAAAAAUGUGCCUGCUGAAGUGCAAGAAAGAACUGUGCAGGCUGGCAAGUACAGUACCUUUAUUUUUGAGGGCCUGUUGAGGUGGAAGGCAUCUUCUGGGAGGUUGGAGCUGAAGGACUCCUUGCCGUGAGAGUCUGAGCCGAGGCCAUAGACCAGACUGCUGGCGCCUGCUGAGAAGAGACACAAACAUCUGAGAGCUUUCUGUGGCGGAGACGUUGCCCAUUCGAGAACUUGUCAGCUGUCCUGAGAGGACGCCAUUGUCCGCCUCUUCAUACUCUUCAAGUUUUCUCUCCAUCGUCAUUUCCUCUGUUUUCUCAGCCUCUAUAAACCCCAAGCUGAGCCUCUCAUGAGAGCGAUGGUUCCGAUUCAGAGGGGAGGAUUGAUCUAGAUCGAUGGAAAGAAUAGAUGAGGAAGAGUGCGUCAGGUCCUCUACCUCAUUGUUGUCAGGUAGCCUGGGGUUGAGGAUGGGCGAGAUGAGGGGAGGGGAGGCCCAGCAACGGAAGCUGGCCCUGGGCUUGGAUUUGGCACGUUGUUGCCGGGGGUCAGAGUGGGGCUGGUGCGGAGAACAGCCUCGAAUGGGAGAGCAGCCCUCCACAUAUGGACUCGUGGCGCAGGAGGGGGUGUCCAUGUCCACGGGAACGCUGCAUGGAGUUAAACUGCACACUCGCUUCCACUCGGCUGAGGAAGAUUUAGAAAUAAAUAAAAUAAUCUUAGAAUCAUAGAAGAAUGACAUCAAAAUACAAUUCUACUGUCAUAAGAAUUCUCAUAUGUGAGGAUUACUUGUGCAGUCAUGUCGUCUACCAGGCGUCUAUUCAAGAUGAGGCGUUA